ACUCCUACGGGAGGCAGCAGUGGGGAAUAUUGGACAAUGGGCGCAAGCCUGAUCCAGCCAUGCCGCGUGAGUGAUGAAGGCCCUAGGGUUGUAAAGCUCUUUCACCGGUGAAGAUAAUGACGGUAACCGGAGAAGAAGCCCCGGCUAACUUCGUGCCAGCAGCCGCGGUAAUACGAAGGGGGCUAGCGUUGUUCGGAUUUACUGGGCGUAAAGCGCACGUAGGCGGACUAUUAAGUCAGGGGUGAAAUCCCGGGGCUCAACCCCGGAACUGCCUUUGAUACUGGUAGUCUUGAGUUCGAGAGAGGUGAGUGGAAUUCCGAGUGUAGAGGUGAAAUUCGUAGAUAUUCGGAGGAACACCAGUGGCGAAGGCGGCUCACUGGCUCGAUACUGACGCUGAGGUGCGAAAGCGUGGGGAGCAAACAGGAUUAGAUACCCUUGUAGUCCC
rnacentral:rRNA from 1 species